AUGAUUUCAGCGGCUUUGGAGCACGGGAAAAUGGCUCUGGAGACGGAUCGCUCGAGCCCGAACAGCGCCUCGAGCCCGGGCCCGACGACGAACAAGCGCCCGUCCUCGACCGACGGCAGCGUGUCCGGCUUCCCGCGGGUGCCGUCGCCGAAAGCGGACUCGAACCCGGACCCCUGGACCCAGCGCCCCGAGACGAAGCUCGCCAAGCCGCCGUCCGCCUUCCACCAGAUCUCCCUCCUCAGCCAGUGCCAUGCCGAGCCCCUCCAGAACGGCAAAGACGAGAAGGAGUGUGAAGAACCCCUCGCCGAGAGGCUCGUCUCCCCCGGCGAGAACCUAAAAAACGGGAUAGUUCCUUUAACGAAACCUAUGUCUAUAUGUUCACCUCUCCAAAGCAAAGUCCUAAACAAAGAGAACAACAACAAGAUCAAGCUUGAGGAGUACGCGAAGCCGGAGUUGAGAUCGCCGCGGGCCGACCGGCCACGACCUCAGUUCAUCGACCGACGAUUCGAAGCCGACUACAGGUACAAACAAAUCCCCAUCGCGGAUAAAGUCUACCCCAGCUUCAAACCGAUGACCCCGAUGGACCCGAGCAUCCCGCUGAACCCGGCGAUGAUCCCCGCAAUGCUUCCAGGCCAAAGACUCCAGCCGGAGUACCCGCUGCCCAUCCCCGGGCUCCCCUUCACGCCCCUGAUGUACGGCAUCGGGUUCAUGCCGCGCGCCCUGAACCUCCAGAUCCCCGGCAUGUACCCCCCGGACAUCCGGUUGCCGGAGCUCCAGAGCGCCAAGCUCAUGUACGAGUCGCUCCACCUGCCGCCGACGGAGACCCACGCGCCCGAAGAAAGGUACUUAACCAGCUUCUCGCCCUCGGCGUCCGAGUCUUCGAGGAGUUUCAAUGCUAGUCAAAAAUGCUCGCCCGACGCCAAGGACUCGCGACCCUCCUCGGCGUGUAGUUCGGUGACCUCGAGUUCCAGGGAGCCGCGGACGUGGAGCUACUGCCAGUCGCCGACCCCGUCCCGGUCGCCGUCCCGCCGCCCCAGACGACGUCGCUCCCGUUCUCCGUGA
rnacentral:lncRNA from 1 species